rnacentral:rRNA from 1 species
GACGAACGCUGGCGGCGUGCUUAACACAUGCAAGUCGAACGGAAAGGCCCUGCUUUUGGGGGGUGCUCGAGUUGCGAACGGGUGAGUAACACGUGGGUAACCUGCCCUUGACUUUGGGAUAACUUCAGGAAACUGGGGCUAAUAGCGGAUAGGAGCUCCUGCUGCAUGGUGGGGGUGGGAAAGUUUCGGCGGUUGGGGAUGGACUAGCGGCUUAUCAGCUUGUUGGUUGGGUAGUGGAUUACCAAGGCUUUGACGGGUAGCCGGCCUGAGAGGGUGACCGGCUACAUUGGGACUGAGCUACGGCCCAGACUCCUCCGGGAGGCAGCAGUGGGGAAUAUUGCACAAUGGGCGGAGCCAUGAUGCAGCACCGCAGCGUGGCGGAUGACGGCCUUCCCGUUGUAAACCGCUUUCGCCUGUGACGAAGCGUGAGUGACGGUACUGGGUAAAGAAGCACCGGCUAACUACGUG